UCCCUGUAUUCAGCCCCCACUCCGCACAGGCGCACAGCUCUGAGCCCUGAGAGGCCCCUCGUUCCCUCAGAGACUCCACAGGGAACACCGAGUGGGCCCUGGAUUCACAGCCCUGUAGGAGCUGCCGAAGGAGCCCCCUUGUUCUCCCACCACCCAGAACACGGAGCACGUUGUCAAGGUGGAACCAUCCGGGGCAGCUGGGACCAGGGAAGAUGUUUAUUUUUCCUCUCUAGGCAGUACCACAGAAUAAUGUUUUCAGAAUUCUCCCCAAUCCUCUUUGAGUUUCUGGUGCAGUUCCUGGAAGAAAAGCCUGCAUGGGGAAGUGAGCCUGCCUCGUGUGCAGCCCCCAAGGCUGCUACAUUACCUCAUGUACCACUGCCCUUCAGUCACUUGGUCAACAUUUCUGAGUUAACCUUCCUGAGACAUACGACAUUUGGCAGGGUCUUUCCUAUUUUAAAAAAGAUAGUCAAGUUCUGUUUAUCACUGCAGACACCUGCCCCUUUCUGGAAUGCAGUUUAUUUUUGAGUGUGCAGUAAUUGAAGAUUAAUAGAAGGUUUGUGUGCAUCUCAUCAUCUUACAGAGUGCAACCGCCAUGGGGUUGACCCAACAAGCAAGUAGAUGGACUUUCUCACCUGGAGAACAAGACAUUUUCAUAGCCAGUAACCGCAGUGGGGCUCUCACCCUCCGUGACCUAUCAGGCACAUGUUUCUGGCUAAUGUGCUACCAGCAAGGGGAACCAGUGCCCACCCACGAGAGUGUUCUUCUGUUUCCCUCCCACUUUGUAAAUGGAAGCUAUUGCUUCUGCCUGGAUCUCAUUCAUGAGUUUUCAUUUUCUGUACAACAGGCCUCAUCUAGAAACACCCCCAAAACUUUACACUGACUCUAAUGGAACUGUAGAAAAUCAUACAUGAUGUGCCUCAUGACCAAAGUCCCCACUUCUCAUUAAAGGACAUUCCUUAUGAGAUUCACCAGAACUUGCUUUCUUUCCAUAGAUAUGGAUCUACCUCUAAAAAUGUAGAGAACUUACCCUCAGGGAAGGGACAUAGUAAGUCAGGGGUCACAGUAACUGUGAGAAAAUAUACAUUUUAUGAGUCUUCUAAAAGGGGUCCAAAGGAGAAUAGCCCCACUCACUUUUUCUCAAACUGGCAUCAUCCCCAGGAACCCACUUUAAGAACCUGUGGUGCUUCUAGAUAAUUUAGGCUUGGUAUGCCGAGGGAUCGACAGAGAAAAAGAACCAAUCUGUCCAUGUAAGUGCUUUAAUUUUAACUUAUUUAUGACUCUGGGGCAGGAUGGUGAUAGUGGGGAAGGCUGUGCAUGUGUGAAGAAAGGACACACGGGAAAUCUCUGCACCUUCUCUUCAAUUUUGCUGUGGUCUUAAAACUACUUUUUCAUACACUUUAUGUAACAAGUGGCAGAGACAUUUGAGAAUUCAUUUUGGCCAGUUUUUAGGAAUCAUAUUUAGUUUUAGCCAUGUUACCAAGCAAUCUUGCACCAUAUUAUUUACCUAUCUGAUUUAAAAAAUUAUGUCUGCCUACAUGGGAUCACCCUGAUUGAUUGCUUCCUUUACCACUCUGUGAAUUUUGUGCAAUUUUCUUUUGAAAGAAAUGUUUCUUAUAUAGAAUACAUACAUGUUUCUAUUACUCAUAUUCUGCAAUUGCUUAGUCCAUUUUCUAAGCAACUUUAAACAUUUUAAGCCCUGUAAUCUCCUCAAAUUCAGUGCAGCUGCCUACUCCCUGGGGUUUCUGACACUCUCAGGAUGUGGAUUUUCACACUGUGUCUCUCGAACAGUAAUACACAGCCAUGUCCUCAGAUCUCAGGCUGCUCAGCUCCAUGUAGGCUGUGCUUGUGGAUGUGUCCAUGGUAAUGGUGACUCUGCCCUGGAAUUUCUGUGUGUAGCUUGUUUUACCAUCUUCAGGAUAAAUAUGUCCCACCCACUGAAGCCCCUGUCCAGGGGUCUGUCACACCAGUGCA